rnacentral:lncRNA from 1 species
AAAAAGGCUUUAAAAAGGUUUUAUUUCAUUUCAAACCCUAGGGUUUCACCCAUUUGAGCUUUGGAUCUUAAAACCAACAGGGUUUAUCUAUAAAUGGGUUUAUUGCAUAAAUAAGCUAUCCCAUAAUUUUUGGAUAUUUAUUUGGAGUUGAAAAACUAUCUUAUUUAAAUAGUUAUAUAGCCCUAAAGGCAUUUAUAGGGCAAAUGUAUUUUUAUAUAUUUUAUUUUGAGGGGAGAUUACUCCCAAAAGUUGAAUCAUGAUAAAACAUGAUUUUACAAAUUUUCUGUAAUUUAUUUGGACCAAUUUGGACUUCAAAAUCAAAAGAUAUCAAGGAAUUACAGAAAAAGGAAAAAAAGAAAAGGGAAAAGAAAAAAAAAGAGAAAAUCGGACUGGCCCGGCCAUUUUGGGCCGAACCGGCCCCGUUCCGACCGCGCCCGAGCCAACCCCGCGCCCGCCGCAAGACGCUGAC